GUAAACGGCGGCCGUAACUAUAACGGUCCUAAGGUAGCGAAAUUCCUUGUCGGGUAAGUUCCGACCUGCACGAAUGGCGUAAUGAUGGCCAGGCUGUCUCCACCCGGGACUCAGUGAAAUUGAACUCGCUGUGAAGAUGCAGUGUACCCGCGGCAAGACGGAAAGACCCCGUGAACCUUUACUAUAGCUUGACACUGAACACUGGUCCUUGAUGUGCAGGAUAGGUGGGAGGCUUUGAAGUGUGGACGCCAGUCUGCAUGGAGCCAUCCUUGAAAUACCACCCUUUAAUGGCUGGUGUUCUAACGUGGGCCCGUGAACCGGGUUGCGGACAGUGUCUGGUGGGUAGUUUGACUGGGGCGGUCUCCUCCUAAAGAGUAACGGAGGAGCACGAAGGUUGGCUAAUCCUGGUCGGACAUCAGGAGGUUAGUGCAAUGGCAUAAGCCAGCUUGACUGCGAGCGUGACGGCGCGAGCAGGUGCGAAAGCAGGUCAUAGUGAUCCGGUGGUUCUGAAUGGAAGGGCCAUCGCUCAACGGAUAAAAGGUACUCCGGGGAUAACAGGCUGAUACCGCCCAAGAGUUCAUAUCGACGGCGGUGUUUGGCACCUCGAUGUCGGCUCAUCACAUCCUGGGGCUGAAGUAGGUCCCAAGGGUAUGGCUGUUCGCCAUUUAAAGUGGUACGCGAGCUGGGUUUAGAACGUCGUGAGACAGUUCGGUCCCUAUCUGCCGUGGGCGCUGGAAGAUUGAGGGGGGCUGCUCCUAGUACGAGAGGACCGGAGUGGACGCAUCACUGGUGUUCGGGUUGUCAUGCCAAUGGCACUGCCCGGUAGCUACAUGCGGAAGAGAUAAGUGCUGAAAGCAUCUAAGCACGAAACUUGCCCCGAGAUGAAUCUUCCCUGAGCCUUUAAGGCUCCUGAAGGAACGUUGAAGACGACGACGUUGAUAGGCCGGGUGUGUAAGCGCAGCGAUGCGUUGAGCUAACCGGUACUAAUGAACCGUGAGGCUUAACCUUACAACGCCGAA
rnacentral:rRNA from 1 species